rnacentral:ribozyme from 13 species
UUUUUUUUUUUUUUUUUUUUUUUUUUUUUUUUUUUUUUUUUUAGGAAAUGGUGGAGCUUUUACUGGAACGCCCAG